rnacentral:rRNA from 1 species
UAGGGAAUCUUCCACAAUGGGCGAAAGCCUGAUGGAGCAACGCCGCGUGUGUGAUGAAGGGUUUCGGCUCGUAAAACACUGUUGUAAGAGAAGAACAUAUCUGAGAGUAACUGUUCAGGUAUUGACGGUAUUUAACCAGAAAGCCACGGCUAACUACGUGUCAG